GUGGAUUAUAUACCCCGGUAGUCCAUGCCGUAAACGUUGGGAACUAGGUGUGGGUCUCAUUCCACGAGAUCCGUGCCGCAGCUAACGCAUUAAGUUCCCCGCCUGGGGAGUACGGCCGCAAGGCUAAAACUCAAAGGAAUUGACGGGGGCCCGCACAAGCGGCGGAGCAUGCGGAUUAAUUCGAUGCAACGCGAAGAACCUUACCAAGGCUUGACAUAUGCGAGAACGCUGCAGAGAUGCAGAACUCUUUGGACACUCGCAUACAGGUGGUGCAUGGCCGUCGACAGCU
rnacentral:rRNA from 1 species